rnacentral:rRNA from 1 species
AUACGUAGGGGGCGAGCGUUGUCCGGAAUGAUUGGGCGUAAAGGGCGCGUAGGCGGCCCGGUAAGUCUGGAGUGAAAGUCCUGUUUUUAAGAUGGGACUUGCUUUGGAUACUGUCGGGCUUGAGUGCAGGAGAGGUAAGUGGAAUUCCCCGUGUAGCGGUGAAAUGCGUAGAGAUUGGGAGGAACACCAGUGGCGAAGGCGACUUACUGGACUGUAACUGACGCUGAGGCGCGAAAGUGUGGGGAGCAAACAGGAUUAGAUACCCUGGUAGUCCACACUGUAAACGAUGAAUGCUAGGUGUAGGGGGUAUCGACCCCUUCUGUGCCGCAGUCAACACAAUAAGCAUUCCGCCUGGGGAGUACGGCCGCAAGGUUGAAACUUAAAGGAAUUGGCGGGG